rnacentral:rRNA from 1 species
GACGAACGCUGGCGGCGUGCCUAACACAUGCAAGUCGAGCGUGAAAGCCCCCUCGGGGGCGAGUAAAGCGGCAGACGGGUGAGUAAUACAUAGGUAAUCUACCUUCGAGAUUGGGAUAACCCCGCGAAAGUGGGGCUAAUACCGGAUAAGACCACGUGGCAUAUGCUACGCGGUAAAAGGUGGCUUUUUCUUCGGAUUAGGCUAUCACUUGAGGAUGAGCCUGUGGCCUAUCAGCUUGUUGGCGGGGUAAAAGCCCACCAAGGCUAUGACGGGUAGUUGGUCUGAGAGGACGACCAACCACACUGGGACGGAGACACGGCCCAGACUCCUACGGGAGGCAGCAGUGGGGAAUAUUGGGCAAUGGGCGCAAGCCUGACCCAGCGACGCCGCGUGGGUGAUGAAGGCCUUCGGGUUGUAAAGCCCUGUCAUGCGGAAAGAACAGUCUUAUGGCUAAUAUCCAUGAGAUUUGACGGUACCGCAGGAGGAAGCACCGGCUAACUCCGUGCCAGCAGCCGCCGCAGUAA